UGGAAGAGAGAGAGAGAAGGAGACCUAUAGGGGGAGGUAUUAAUUUUUAUAAUUAUUUUUUUUUACUUUUUUCGGCGACGAUUUCGAGGGUUUUGUUGGGUGAAUUUUAUUUCUUUUCGAAAUAUAUUUCCUCUGCUGAGGUUGUUGUUUGUUAUGGAGGUUUGCGCUUUUCUGAAUUUCGUUGUGACAUUCUAGUAAAGAAAAGCAGGAAAGAGGGAAGAAAAAAAAUAAAGAAAGAAAAUCAAAGGCGGUAUUUACUCUGUUCCGAGGGGGGGGCAGGGCCUAUAUAUCUGGGGCAACACCGGGCGGCGGUGCUGGUUUUCACUCUUGAACCCAUCUUGAUUUUUCCGUCCAAUUCGAAAGAGAAAAUCUCGGCCAUAGAUUCCUCAUCUGCUGCGCUUUGCUUCUUUUUAUCUUCCUCUCGUUCCUCUCUCUCUACCUCCCCCUUUCGGCUAUAUCUUAGUUGAAUCUCAUACGAUUUUUGGGUUUUUGCCAUUUCUCUGAAAUUUCUGAACAGUGAGCUACUGAAAGUGGGAGAGGAGUGGUGGUGAGGCUGAGGCUGAGGUUGAGGGAGAGGAUUUAUGUUGGUGGGUUUUGGAUUGGCAGUGAUUGGGGCUCUGUUUCGUCUCUGGGUCGUGUCUGUUUCCUCUUCUUCUCCUUCUUCGCAAUCGUCGUCUUCUUCUCGGGCAUCUGUUUCUCGCUCUGGUGGGUUGGGUGCUCCCCGCUUCAUGCUUUUGCGCUGCUUCUGGCCGGCUUCGAAUCUGGGUUCCUCGUCUGCUUCGAUGCGUUUGAGGCCAAGAAGGACUUGUUCUGGCGUCGAGUGCUUUGGGGGUUUUCACAUAAAGCGAUUUUCCAAUCUCUUCUUGUUCUUGAGAGGGGGUUUCACUUGAUAUAGCUCCGGUCUCGCACCGAUUUUGCUCCUUUUGACCUCUUUGAGUUCUUUAAUUUUUUUAUAUCUAUUUGCGUUGAGGUAAAAUUUCGAGGGCGUCGUUGAGGGGGGUUUUUGGUGAGGGUUUUGCGGUCACAGAAAUGCCAGAACCUGUGAUUCAGCCUGUAGACCACAACAAUCUGCUCAAGAAACCGAGGAAGAUGACGAGGAUCACUGUAGACUCGAGAAGGGUGAGGAAGAUUCGAAUUUUCUGUCGAGAUCCUGAAGCGACCGACGAUUCCUCGAGCGAAGACGAAUCGGACCACCACCGAAAGGCGAUGCCAAGCUUUUCGUCCGAGAGAUCAAUGUCCCCUCGUCUCAACCCACCGCGCCAGUGACCUUCCAAGCGAGAGCUCUUGCCAAGACAGCAACAACGGCUUCAAAAGCCUCGAAAAGAAGAGGAAGGCCUCGCCGAAAGGCGCAGCGGGCACGAAGAGGAGGGCAUGUAAUUCGCCGUACAAGGGCGUCCGGCAGAGGAAGUGGGGUAAGGGGCUGCCGAGAUUCGAGACCCCCGGCGAAAGGGGUCUCGGAUUUGGCUGGGGACGUUCGACACCCCGCAGGAAGCUGCGAAGGCGUACGAGAACAAGAGGCUUGAAUUCGAGGCUGCUAAGGCGGAAGAGGCGUCCUUCUCGCACUCGCUCAACAGGCCAUCCACAUCUGAAGACACGGAGAGCGUCCUGUCGCACACUUCUCCGGCUUCGGUCCUCGAUCUAGAUACUACCGCGUCUAACUCGACUAAAGAAGCCACUGCUGAUGCCAAUGAGGAGAACAUGGAGAGACCCUGCCUAGAACUCAUUGAGGAGGAGCCACUUAUUUCGCUGGAUGAUGUGGCUAUCCAGGAUUUUUACCCCGGGGAGGAUAUUGAUUCGCUGUUCAAGGACGACUUCGGGGGUUUCGUGGAUGAUGAUAUCUGGGGCUUUGGUGAUAUACCCUUAUGCGGAUUCGACAAGAACAAGCUGAUCGAGCUCCCAGAUUACGAUUUCGAGCUCGAGGACGACGAGUUUGGCCAUUGGAUUGAUGAGCCACCACCCUUAAUAUCGCAUGCCCAUAAGUUUUGCAGCUAUAGGUACAUUAGUAGUAGUAUCGAUGAUGAAGCAUAUUAUCUAUAUAUUUAGCGAGUACACUCUUGAGAACUAACUGGUAAUCGAGUUCUUGAGACUGGUUUUGUCAUUGUGUUCAAUUAAUUCGUUUGUAACUAGAGAGAUUCGUGUGUGAGUAGGGAUUGAGUGAGCUGGGGAAGAAAUCCCUUUUGGGUUUUCUUGUGCUAUUUGAGCCGUCCAUAAAGGGGUUUUUUCAUUUUCCUCCCGUGAGAGAGUGUUCUUGCAAUGUCCUGAGAUCUGAGAAGGAGAAAAAGACUCAAUCUCCCACUCACACAUGUCCUGCGUUGCUCUCUGUAUUUAUUGUCUGAUCAUAUGGUAAUUCGAGAUGGAAAAACUUUUGUUUGGCUGCUGAUCAGUCUAAA